rnacentral:ncRNA from 1 species
UUCAAUGGGGUUCGCCUACUCCACUCAAUAGGCGUUCAACCAUUUAAAAAAGGAGGUUUACCUAUCCGCGAGGCCCGCGGUGCGGCAGUGUGGAGACCUGUCGCAAGGCGGUUCGCUGAGAUUGACACAGCGACGCGAGGGCACGGCAAAGGACCGUCGUGCUCAGGGCCGGACACAAUGGCA